GAUGAACGCUGGCGGCGUGCCUAAUACAUGCAAGUCGAGCGAACAGACGAGGAGCUUGCUCCUCUGACGUUAGCGGCGGACGGGUGAGUAACACGUGGAUAACCUACCUAUAAGACUGGGAUAACUUCGGGAAACCGGAGCUAAUACCGGAUAACAUGUUGAACCGCAUGGUUCAACAGUGAAAGACGGUCUUGCUGUCACUUAUAGAUGGAUCCGCGCCGCAUUAGCUAGUUGGUAAGGUAACGGCUUACCAAGGCAACGAUGCGUAGCCGACCUAAGAGGGUGAUCGGCCACACUGGAACUGGGACACGGUCCAGACUCCUACGGGAGGCAGCAGUAGGGAAUCUUCCGCAAUGGGCGAAAGCCUGACGGAGCAACGCCGCGUGAGUGAAGAAGGUCUUCGGAUCGUAAAACUCUGUUAUUAGGGAAGAACAAAUGUGUAAGUAACUAUGCACGUCUUGACGGUACCUAAUCAGAAAGCCACGGCUAACUACGUGCCAGCCGCCGCCGUAA
rnacentral:rRNA from 1 species